rnacentral:rRNA from 1 species
CCUACGGGAGGCAGCAGUGGGGAAUAUUGCACAAUGGGGGAAACCCUGAUGCAGCGACGCCGCGUGGGCGAGGAAGUACCUCGGUAUGUAAAGCCCUAUCAGCAGGGAAGAAACAGGACAGUACCUGACUAAGAAGCCCCGGCUAACUACGUGCCAGCAGCCGCGGUAAUACGUAGGGGGCAAGCGUUAUCCGGAUUCACUGGGCGUAAAGGGAGCGCAGGCGGCAUGGCAAGUCUGAUGUGAAAACCCGGGGCCCAACCCCGGGAGUGCAUUGGAAACUGCAUGGCUGGAGUGCGGGAGGGGCAGGCGGAAUUCCUGGUGUAGCGGUGAAAUGCGUAGAUAUCAGGAGGAACACCGGCGGCGAAGGCGGCCUGCUGGACCGCGACUGACGUUGAGGCUCGAAAGCGUGGGGAGCGAACAGGAUUAGAUACCCUGGUAGUC